rnacentral:rRNA from 1 species
ACCGGCGGCUCGAGUGGUGGCCACUAUUACUGGGCUUAAAGCGUUCGUAGCUGGCUUGUUCAGUCUCUGGGGAAAUCUUCCGGCUCAACCGGAAGGCGUCUCAGGGAUACUGGCAGGCUAGGGACAGGAAGUGGUGAGAGGUACUCCAGUGGGAGGACUGAAAACGUGGAAUCCUAGGGGGAGGACCUGUGGCUAAGGCAGCAAACCAGGACAACUCCCACAGUGGGGAACGAAAGCGGGGAGAGCAAAGAG